rfam:Ictidomys tridecemlineatus contig104562, whole genome shotgun sequence.
UGGGUUGUGGCUCAGUGGUAGAGCGCUUGCCUACCAUGCGUGAGGCACUGGGUUUGAUCCCCUGUACCACAU